CCCAGACUCCUACGGGAGGCAGCAGUGGGGAAUAUUGCACAAUGGGGGAAACCCUGAUGCAGCGACGCCGCGUGAGUGAAGAAGUAUUUCGGUAUGUAAAGCUCUAUCAGCAGGGAAGAAAGUGACGGUACCUGACUAAGAAGCCCCGGCUAACUACGUGCCAGCAGCCGCGGUAAUACGUAGGGGGCAAGCGUUAUCCGGAUUUACUGGGUGUAAAGGGAGCGUAGACGGCAUGGCAAGUCAGAUGUGAAAGCCUGGGGCUCAACCCCGGGACUGCAUUUGAAACUGUCAGGCUGGAGUGCAGGAGAGGUAAGUGGAAUUCCUAGUGUAGCGGUGAAAUGCGUAGAUAUUAGGAGGAACACCAGUGGCGAAGGCGGCUUACUGGACUGUAACUGACGUUGAGGCUCGAAAGCGUGGGGAGCAAACAGGAUUAGAUACCCGGGUA
rnacentral:rRNA from 1 species